AACGAACGCUGGCGGCAGGCUUAACACAUGCAAGUCGAGCGCCUCGCAAGAGGAGCGGCAGACGGGUGAGUAACGCGUGGGAGCGUACCCUUAUCUUCGGAAUAGCUCUGGGAAACUGGAAGUAAUACCGAAUGUGCCCUUAGGGGGAAAGAUUUAUCGGAUAAGGAUCGGCCCGCGUUGGAUUAGCUAGUUGGUGGGGUAAAGGCCUACCAAGGCGACGAUCCAUAGCUGGUCUGAGAGGAUGAUCAGCCACAUUGGGACUGAGACACGGCCCAAACUCCUACGGGAGGCAGCAGUGGGGAAUAUUGGACAAUGGGCGCAAGCCUGAUCCAGCCAUGCCGCGUGAGUGAUGAAGGCCUUAGGGUUAUAAAGCUCUUUCACCGGAGAAGAUAAUGACGGUAUCCGGAGAAGAAGCCCCGGCUAACUUCGUG
rnacentral:rRNA from 1 species